rnacentral:rRNA from 1 species
UUCGGACAAUGGAUGUAGAGGAAAGUGGCGGACGGGUGAGUAACGCGUGAGGAACCUGCCUUGAAGAGGGGGACAACAGUUGGAAACGACUGCUAAUACCGCAUGACGCAUAGGGGUCGCAUGAUCUUUAUGCCAAAGAUUUAUCGCUUCAAGAUGGCCUCGCGUCUGAUUAGCUAGUUGGCGGGGUAACGGCCCACCAAGGCGACGAUCAGUAGCCGGACUGAGAGGUUGAACGGCCACAUUGGGACUGAGAUACGGCCCAGACUCCUACGGGAGGCAGCAGUGGGGAAUAUUGGGCAAUGGGCGCAAGCCUGACCCAGCAACGCCGCGUGAAGGAAGAAGGCUUUCGGGUUGUAAACUUCUUUUAAGAGGGAAGAGGAGAAGACGGUACCUCUAGAAUAAGCCACGGCUAACUACGUGCCAGCAGCCGCGGUAAUACGUAGGAGGCAAGCGUUGUCCGGAUUUACUGGGUGUAAAGGGCGUGCAGCCGGGUCUGCAAGUCAGAUGUGAAAUCCAUGGGCUCAACCCAUGAACUGCAUUUGAAACUGUAGAUCUUGAGUGUCGGAGGGGCAAUCGGAAUUCCUAGUGUAGCGGUGAAAUGCGUAGAUAUUAGGAGGAACACCAGUGGCGAAGGCGGA